rnacentral:rRNA from 1 species
GACGGAGGAUGCAAGUGUUAUCCGGAAUCACUGGGCGUAAAGCGUCUGUAGGUGGUUUAAUAAGUCAACUGUUAAAUCUUGAGGCUCAACCUCAAAAUCGCAGUCGAAACUAUUAGGCUAGAGUAUAGUAGGGGUAAAGGGAAUUUCCAGUGGAGCGGUGAAAUGCGUAGAGAUUGGAAAGAACACCGAUGGCGAAGGCACUUUACUGGGCCGACACUGACACUGAGAGACGAAAGCUAGGGGAGCGAAUGGG